UGCUUAUUAUGGAAAAUGGAAAACGACCGUAAACAUCAUCGAGGCGAGAGCUGGAGUAGAGUGCUGCGUCGACGUCGUGAAAAGUUAAGAACCAUGUCGAGUUGAUGUAACACAUUGAUUACAAAUGCCAAGCUUUCUCAGCGUAGCGUCUCUGGGCAAGCUUUGUUCUAGCAAAAUCAAUUCUCCAGCAAGGAGUUAACGUUGAAUAAGAACCCGUAGGACGUCAAGAUGGGGGAUCACAACAACGAUGACCAGAGCAGGGCUCCGCCCAAUCCACUAAAAUCAAGAAGGUCAAACAUAAAAGCUUUUGUGUCGUUCAAGAACAGCACGGACAGAAUCGUGGAUGUGAUAUGGAUGAACUUUGCUGGGCAGAGACAGACGUACACAGAGAACGGUCUAGCGCCAGGGCGUCAGCUGAACAUGCACACCUUCGAGGGCCACCCGUGGAUCGUACGAGACAAGGUCACAGGAGACACGUUGGAGUUUGUUGAUCAUGGUGUCGGGAGGCUGAUCUACAUGCCAGAACCAUGGGACGGAGGAAGGUUUUACAGGGCUCCUAUCGUCAAGAUAAGAGUUCCGAUCUACAGCCUAUACGAGAGAUCGUUACAAAUCGUCAGACAGCUAAUCCACAACCAAGACAACGUUGACGAACUUGAGAUCCCUAAACAAGUCAAGUAUGAUCUCUGUCACGUGCGGGACAUCAUUCCUCAAGCUCCGUGAAAAACCAUCAUCGUACUACCUCGUUCCCGCUGUUUUGCGAUCCAUUACGAAUGCCCUGGUAGGCCCUUCGUAAGUAAUCACAAAACUUUGGGAACCAUUCAAAUAUUGUUAUGGUCAAUACGAUUGCUACAAUGAUCUGAUACGAUGACUACGAUUGCUCCAUGAAUAAGGCCACCGUGGCGUGAAUCGUGACAGUGCGAACAAGGUAUGAGAUGAUUGAAGAUCUUGAACUUACCAACCUUGAUCUAUUUGAUAGAUCGUUGCCUGCUGGAUCAGGUCUAUCAACAAAGCAUCUGAGAAAUACAGACUUCCGCGAUUAUUGGGUAAAGCGUAUGGGAAGAACACAUGUCAGGAGGAAGGGGAUUAAGGUACUAGAAAGUGUUCUCGAAGUUGCGUGAAAAUCCUACAGUGAUGGUGCUCCCUGCUGGAUCGAGUCUGUCAGGUGCGAAAAGCGUCUGAGAAACACUGAGUUCCGCGAUUGUUGGAUGAAGCGUAUGGGAAGAACACAUGUCAGGAGGAAGGGGAUUAAGGUACUAGAAAGUGUUCUCGAAGUUGCGUGAAAAUCCUACAGUGAUGGUGCUCCCUGCUGGAUCGAGUCAGGUGCGAAAAGCGUCUGAGAAACACAGAGUUCCGCGAUUGUCGGAUGAAGCGUAUGGGAAGAACACAGGUCAGCAGGAUGAGGGUUAACGUACUGGAAAGUGUUCCGGAAGUUGCGUGAAAAUCCUUCAGUGAUGUGACAUCGAAAUUACACUUCUGCCCUCACAGGGCUGAUCUCUGAAAUCAGCAGAGGGAGAGAACC
rnacentral:misc_RNA from 1 species